rnacentral:rRNA from 1 species
UGCUACCAGACGACGACCGGCGCACGGAUGAGUAACGCGUAUGUAAUCUGCCUUGUACAGAGGGAUAGCCCAGAGAAAUUUGGAUUAAUACCUCAUAGUAUUACCGAAUCGCAUGAUUUGGUAAUUAAAGCUCCGGCGGUACAAGAUGAACAUGCGUGACAUUAGCUAGUUGGUAAGGUAACGGCUUACCAAGGCCACGAUGUCUAGGGGUUCUGAGAGGAUGAUCCCCCACACUGGUACUGAGACACGGACCAGACUCCUACGGGAGGCAGCAGUGAGGAAUAUUGGUCAAUGGACGCAAGUCUGAACCAGCCAUCCCGCGUGAAGGAUGACUGCCCUAUGGGUUGUAAACUUCUUUUAUAUGCAAAUAAACCUACUUUCGUGAAAGUAGCUG